ACUAACAAGGAUUCCCCUAGUAACUGCGAGUGAAGCGGGAAAAGCUCAAAUUUAAAAUCUGGCAGUCUCUGGCUGUCCGAGUUGUAAUCUAGAGAAGUAAUGCCCGUGCUGGACCGUGUAUAAGUCUCCUGGGAUGGGGCGUCAUAGAGGGUGAGAAUCCCGUCUUUGACACGGACUACCAGUGCAUUGUGGUAUGCUCUCAAAGAGUCGAGUUGUUUGGGAAUGCAGCUCAAAAUGGGUGGUAAAUUCCAUCUAAAGCUAAAUAUUGGCGAGAGACCGAUAGCGAACAAGUACCGUGAGGGAAAGAUGAAAAGAACUUUGGAAAGAGAGUUAAACAGUACGUGAAAUUGCUGAAAGGGAAACGCUUGAAGUCAGUCGCGUUGGCCGGGGAUCAGCCUUGCUUUUGCAUGGUGUACUUUCUGGUUGACGGGUCAGCAUCAAUUUUGAUCACUGGAAAAGGCUCAAGGGAAUGUGGCAGCUUAGGCUGUGUUAUAGCCCCUGUUCACAUACAGUGGUUGGGAUUGAGGAACUCAGCACGCCGCAAGGCCGGGUUUCGACCACGUUCGUGCUUAGGAUGCUGGCAUAAUGGCUUUAAGCGACCCGUCUUGAAACACGGACCAAGGAGUCUAACAUGCCUGCGAGUAUUUGGGUGGAAAACCCGAGUGCGCAAUGAAAGUGAAAGUUGAGAUCCCUGUCGUGGGGAGCAUCGACGCCCGGACCAGAACUUUUGGGACGGAUCCGCGGUGGAGCAUGUAUGUUGGGACCCGAAAGAUGGUGAACUAUGCCUGAAUAGGGUGAAGCCAGAGGAAACUCUGGUGGAGGCUCGUAGCGAUUCUGACGUGCAAAUCGAUCGUCAAAUUUGGGUAUAGG
rnacentral:rRNA from 1 species